GUAGGUGGCAAGCGUUGUCCGGAAUUAUUGGGCGUAAAGCGCGCGCAGGUGGUUCUUUAAGUCUGAUGUGAAAGCCCCCGGCUCAACCGGGGAGAGUCAUUGGAAACUGGGGAACUUGAGUGCAGGAGAGGAAAGUGGAAUUCCACGUGUAGCGGUGAAAUGCGUAGAUAUGUGGAGGAACACCAGUGGCGAAGGCGACUUUCUGGCCUGUAACUGACACUGAGGCGCGAAAGCGUGGGGAGCAAACAGGGAUUAGAUACCCUGGUAGUCCACGCCGUAAACGAUGAGUGCUAAGUGUUGGGGGGGUUUCCCGCCCCUCAGUGCUGCAGCUAACGCAUUAAGCACUCCGCCUGGGGAGUACGGUCGCAAGACUG
rnacentral:rRNA from 1 species